GACGAACGCUGGCGGCGUGCUUAACACAUGCAAGUCGAACGGAAAGGCCCUGCUUUUGUGGGGUGCUCGAGUGGCGAACGGGUGAGUAACACGUGAGUAACCUGCCCUUGACUUUGGGAUAACUUCAGGAAACUGGGGCUAAUACCGGAUAGGAGCUCCUGCUGCAUGGUGGGGGUUGGAAAGUUUCGGCGGUUGGGGAUGGACUCGCGGCUUAUCAGCUUGUUGGUGGGGUAGUGGCUUACCAAGGCUUUGACGGGUAGCCGGCCUGAGAGGGUGACCGGCCAACUGGGGAUAGGACUACGCCCAGGAGCCUUGGGGAAGGCAGAGGUGGGAAUUAUUGCACAAGGGGGGGAAGCUGAAUGAGCCAUGGCCGCGGGGGGGAUGCCGCCCUCGGGGUUGAAACCCGCUUCCGCUGGGGAGGAGGGGUGGGGGGCGGGAGGGGAAAAGGAAGCCCCGCUAACCUGCG
rnacentral:rRNA from 1 species